AUUGAACGCUGGCGGCAGGCCUAACACAUGCAAGUCGAGCGGAUGAAGGGAGCUUGCUCCUGGAUUCAGCGGCGGACGGGUGAGUAAUGCCUAGGAAUCUGCCUGGUAGUGGGGGAUAACGUCCGGAAACGGGCGCUAAUACCGCAUACGUCCUGAGGUAGAAAGUGGGGGAUCUUCGGACCUCACGCUAUCAGAUGAGCCUAGGUCGGAUUAGCUAGUUGGUGGGGUAACGGCCUACCAAGGCGACGAUCCGUAACUGGUCUGAGAGGAUGAUCAGUCACACUGGAACUGAGACACGGUCCAGACUCCUACGGGAGGCAGCAGUGGGGAAUAUUGGACAAUGGGCGAAAGCCUGAUCCAGCCAUGCCGCGUGUGUGAAGAAGGUCUUCGGAUUGUAAAGCACUUUAAGUUGGGAGGAAGGGCAGUAAGUUUAUACCUUGCUGUUUUGACGUUACCAACAGAAUAAGCACCGGCUAACUUCGUG
rnacentral:rRNA from 1 species